GAGGAAGAUACCAAAGGACAACUCAAUAAAGAUGCCAUCGCACGUCAACUCAGUAGUCGGCGCGACGGCAUCCGGGCUCGAGCGGGCACGUGGGAAAGCUGACAGUGGGGUGGGACUGUGGUCUACCAGAGACUUGAUUUACUUGAUAGUGUACCAGUGGAUCUCGGCGGCCGGGCAGCGCUGCAGCAGGGACGGGCGUGGACAAUCCUUUGAAGAUGGCGUGUACCUGCGGUGGUACCAGCAGAUUGUUUUACAUGAUAGCUUUAGAUCACGAAGAUAUCACAUCUUGAAGGAAAUUCUUAUUAUGGCUUGUACCUCCAGGGUACCGGUAGAUCUCGGCGGCUUUUCUGCAACAGCGACAUGCGCGACGAUCAUCUAAAGAUGUUUGAAGAUCGUCCCAGCGUGACUCAUGUCGCAUGAUUUAAUUCCUGAUGCGGUUGGUACCUGGGCGAGGUGAUGCGGUUGAGGCGAUGGGCUGAGGUCGGCCCAUGUUGAUGCCUGGCCCAGGCGGGUGGGCGACGAAGGGAUGGGAGACGGACGAC